AAUACAGGUAUUAAAGGUCCUGCCUGCCCAGUGAAAACUUUUUAACGGCCGCGGUAUCCUAACCGUGCAAAGGUAGCGUAAUCACUUGUCUUCUAAAUAAAGACCAGUAUGAACGGCUAAAUGAGAAUGGACCUGUCUCUUAUGUCCAAUCAGUGAAACUGAUCUCUCAGUACAAAAGCUGAGAUAAACCCAUAAGACGAGAAGACCCUGUGGAGCUUUAAACCCAUGCUACCAAGCAGAAAAUACCUGCUACUAACCAAGAGGUUUUAAGUUGGGGCGACUUCGGAAUAAAAGAAAACUUCCGAGCACAGAGCCACAAACUCUUACUAAGGUCAACAAGCCAAAGCAAAACACGACCCAGUAUAACUGAAAAACGAACCAAGUUACCCCAGGGAUAACAGCGCUAUCUUCUUCAAGAGUCCAUAUCGACAAGAAGGUUUACGACCUCGAUGUUGGAUCAGGACACCCAAACGGUGCAGCCGCUGUUAAAGGUUCGUUUGUUCAACGAUUAAAGUCCUACGUGAUCUGAGUUCAGACCGGAGU
rnacentral:rRNA from 1 species